AUUGAACGCUGGCGGCAUGCCUUACACAUGCAAGUCGAACGGUAACGCGGGGCAACCUGGCGACGAGUGGCGAACGGGUGAGUAAUGCAUCGGAACGUGCCCGGUAGUGGGGGAUAACUGCUCGAAAGAGCAGCUAAUACCGCAUACGACCUGAGGGUGAAAGGGGGGGAUCGCAAGACCUCUCGCUAUCGGAGCGGCCGAUGUCGGAUUAGCUAGUUGGUGGGGUAAAAGCCCACCAAGGCAACGAUCCGUAGCUGGUCUGAGAGGACGACCAGCCACACUGGGACUGAGACACGGCCCAGACUCCUACGGGAGGCAGUAGUGGGGAAUUUUGGACAAUGGACGCAAGUCUGAUCCAGCCAUGCCGCGUGCGGGAAGAAGGCCUUCGGGUUGUAAACCGCUUUUGUCAGGGAAGAAAUCUUCUGAGUUAAUACCUCGGGAGGAUGACGGUACCUGAAGAAUAAGCACCGGCUAACUACGUGCCAGCCGCCGCCGUAACAC
rnacentral:rRNA from 1 species